rnacentral:rRNA from 1 species
CUGCUGCCUCCCGUAGGAGUUUGGACCGUGUCUCAGUUCCAAUGUGGGGGACCUUCCUCUCAGAACCCCUAUCCAUCGUCGUCUUGGUGGGCCGUUACCCCGCCAACUAACUAAUGGAACGCAUCCCCAUCGAUAACCGAAAUUCUUUAAUAUCAAGAUCAUGCGAUCUUAAUAUGCUAUCGGAUAUUAAUCUUUCUUUCGAAAGGCUAUCCCCGAGUUAUCGGCAGGUUGGAUACGUGUUACUCACCCGUGCGCCGAUCG